AUGCCCAGCACAAGUGCUAACGCCAUCACGGCCGGCACCACUGGCACCAGCAGCCGUUCGGUGUGCUCUCCGGGAUGCUGCAGUGGAAGGGUCGAGCAGGAGCUAUGGAUGCCAGCAAACAAGCCUGUGCAGACGGCAUUGCAUCAAUCAAAUCGGAUGGAGAACAUCACACAACAGCUUUCUCCAGGACAUAAAGAAAAUGGUGGCACUUUGGGUUUUGAAGACGCCGCCUCGCGUAGGACUACGAACAUGGGACGCUCGUUCGAGUUUUUCUUAACUCGUCAGGAUUCUCAUGCUGCAAAUUUAGUAACGGGGCAAAUUUUUGGGUGUCCUGAUGUGUUUGCGGAUUGA
rnacentral:rRNA from 1 species